ensembl:miRNA
GGUUGGUGCAAAAGUAAUUGGGGUUUUGCCAUUAAAAGUAAUGAUAAAACUGUAAUUACUUUUGCACCAACCUAAUA